rnacentral:rRNA from 1 species
GAUGAACGCUGGCGGCGUGCCUAAUACAUGCAAGUCGAGCGAACGGACGAGAAGCUUGCUUCUCUGAUGUUAGCGGCGGACGGGUGAGUAACACGUGGAUAACCUACCUAUAAUACUGGGAUAACUUCGGGAAACCGUAGCUAAUACCGGAUAAUAUUUUGAACCGCAUGGUUCAAAAGUGAAAGACGGUCUUGCUGUCACUUAUAGAUGGAUCCGCGCUGCAUUAGCUAGUUGGUAAGGUAACGGCUUACCAAGGCAACGAUGCAUAGCCGACCUGAGAGGGUGAUCAGCCACACUGGAACUGAGACACGGUCCAGACUCCUACGGGAGGCAGCAGUAGGGAAUAUUCCGCAAUGGGCGAAAGCCUGACGGAGCAACGCCGCGUGAGUGAUGAAGUUCUUCGGAUCGUAAAACUCUGUUAUUAGGGAAGAACAUAUGUGUAAGUAACUGUGCACAUCUUGACGGUACCUAAUCAGAAAGCCACGGCUAACUACGUG